UACGUAGGUGGCAAGCGUUGUUCGGAAUUAUUGGGUUUAAAGGGUGCGUAGGCGGAAUGAUAAGUCAGUGGUGAAAGCCUGUUGCUUAACAACAGAACUGCCAUUGAUACUGUCAAUCUUGAGUACAUUUGAUGUGGGCGGAAUGUGUCAUGUAGCGGUGAAAUGCUUAGAUAUGACACAGAACACCGAUUGCGAAGGCAGCUCACAAAACUGUAACUGACGCUGAGGCACGAAAGCGUGGGUAUCAAACAGG
rnacentral:rRNA from 1 species